UGGGGAAUAUUGGACAAUGGGCGCAAGCCUGAUCCAGCCAUGCCGCGUGAGUGAUGAAGGCUUUAGGGUUGUAAAGCUCUUUCAGUGGGGCAGAUAAUGACGGUACCCCCAGAAGAAGCCACGGCUAACUUCGUGCCAGCAGCCGCGGUAAUACGAAGGGGGCUAGCGUUGUUCGGAUUUACUGGGCGUAAAGCGCACGUAGGCGGAUUGUUAAGUCGGGGGUGAAAUCCCGGGGCUCAACCCUGGAACUGCCUUCGAUACUGGCAAUCUCGAGUCCGGAAGAGGUGAGUGGAACUCCUAGUGUAGAGGUGGAAUUCUUAGAUAGUAGGAAGAACACCAGUGGCGAAGGCGGCUCACUGGUCCGGAACUGACGCUGAGGUGCGAAAGCGUGGGGAGCAAACA
rnacentral:rRNA from 1 species